rnacentral:rRNA from 1 species
UGAGGAAUAUUGGUCAAUGGGCGAGAGCCUGAACCAGCCAAAUCGCGUGAAGGAAGACUGCCUUAUGGGUUGUAAACUUCUUUUAUACAGGAAUAAAAAAGGGGACGUGUCCCUUAUUGCAUGUACUGUAUGAAUAAGCAUCGGCUAACUCCGUGCCAGCAGCCGCGGUAAUACGGAGGAUGCGAGCGUUAUCCGGAUUUAUUGGGUUUAAAGGGUGCGCAGGCGGGCUUUUAAGUCAGCGGUGAAAUCUCGGGGCUUAACUCCGAAACUGCCGUUGAAACUGGGAGUCUUGAGUAUGGAUGAAGUAGGCGGAAUUCGUUGUGUAGCGGUGACAUGCUUAGAUAUAACGAGGAACUCCGAUUGCGUAGGAGCUUACUAAGCCAUAACUGACGCUCAAGCACGAAAGCGUGGGGAUCAAAACAGGAUUAGAUACCCUGGUAGUCCACGCCGUAAACGAUGAUUACUAGUUGUAUGCGAUAUACCGUAUGUGACUAAGCGAAAGCGAUAAGUAAUCCACCUGGGGAGUACGCCGGCAACGGUGAAACUUAAAUGAAUUGACGGGGUCAUAGCUGUUUCCUG